GAUGAACGCUGGCGGCGUGCCUAAUACAUGCAAGUCGAGCGAACAGACGAGGAGCUUGCUCCUCUGACGUUAGCGGCGGACGGGUGAGUAACACGUGGAUAACCUACCUAUAAGACUGGGAUAACUUCGGGAAACCGGAGCUAAUACCGGAUAAUUUAUUGAACCGCAUGGUUCAAUAGUGAAAGACGGUUUUGCUGUCACUUAUAGAUGGAUCCGCGCCGCAUUAGCUAGUUGGUAAGGUAACGGCUUACCAAGGCAACGAUGCGUAGCCGACCUGAGAGGGUGAUCGGCCACACUGGAACUUAGACACGGUCCAUGCUCCUACGGGAGGCAGCAGUAGGGAAUCUUCCGCAAUGGGCGAAAGCCUGGCGGAGCAACGCCGCGUGAGUGAUGAAGGUCUUCGGAUCGUAAAACUCUGUUAUUAGGGAAGAACAAAUGUGUAAGUAACUAUGCACGUCUUGACGGUACCUAAUCAGAAAGCCACGGCUAACUACGUG
rnacentral:rRNA from 1 species